rnacentral:misc_RNA from 1 species
GAAAGAACGUAGCGAAAUGCGAUACUUGGUGUGAAUUGCAGAAUCCCGUGAACCAUCGAGUCUUUGAACGCAAGUUGCGCCUCAAGCCAUUAGGUUGAGGGCACGUCUGCCUGGGCGUCACAUAUCGUUGCCUGAUGCCAGUUUCCUCGUGAUGGGUGACUGUGCAGGGCGAAUGAUGGCUUCCCGUGAGCAUUGUUGCCUCAUGGUUGGUUGAAAAUUGACUCCUUGGUAGGGAGCGCCGUGAUAGAUGGUGGUUGAGUGACGAACGAGACCCAAUCAUGUGAGACCCCUACCGAAUUUGGCCUUCAUGACCCACAUGCGUCUUUGGAACGCUCAUGACGAGACCUCAGGUCAGGCGGGGCUACCCGCUGAGUUUAAGCAUAUCAAUAAGCGGAGGA